UCCACCAACUGGAAGGUGGCAUACGUGCAUGAAGGCCCAAGCAUGACACAUCCAGCGUCACCAUUUUUCUUCGUCGAUUUCUGUCAUCACAAAAUGUAGGAAUGAAGUGGAUCGAAAUUUAAAAUGCUUCAGCAAAAACUAGCGGGAACUGAAAUACUGUCCUUUACUUCCUGUUUGUCUUCUUCUUUUGUCAAAUAUACAGUGUCAAACUCAAUAGUGCAUGUUGUGGUCAAGUGUGGAAUUACAACAUAAAUAAACAGCCAGAACAAAAUACAUUUCAACUGUUGA